GGCUGACUGGAGUACCGAGUAAUUCUCCCCGCAAAAAGAAGUCAAUCGCGUAAAUAAAUUCUGGAGGCACCGUUUGUUCUUAAGUGGGCUGGGCCUGCUUUAUAUUUCGGCCAGUCACAGUUGAGCUCAUGUUUUCAAACUCCUUGGAUGCAACUAUGGAGUAUGAAACUAGCCCAACGUAUCCACCGGAGCUGACUCUAUUCGGCCUCUUAUGUGCUAGUAGGACCUUCCACAAGGGCCUUUUUGAUUCUUCUUCUGAAAUUGCUCUCAGUCUGCACUUUCGAGCUCUAAGCCAGGGCGGCAGGGCGCCAGGCUGAACCAACCGGGAGUAGUAUCAAAGAAGAAAAGAAAUAGGGCCAUCGAUUCGCUUGAAGUCGAUUGAUGCACAAAGAAGCACAAGCAACCUGCCACGUGGCAGCAGCCUGCCCACUGAUCCCUCUCUAAUCAGCUGUUGUGCUUCUGCAAAACGUCUUCCUGUCAGAAUAUGCUUUCCCCGGGCCAAAGUUCCAAACACCGCGUGCCUGGCGAUGAUGGUGAAUGGUGAAUGCAAGCGUGAAGGUGGCGGUCGAAAAAGAGGUGGAGGCAGAACAGAAUGGUCGAGGAAGAUAAGAUUGUUGGCCUCUUUGGAUUGAGUGAUCAGGAGAAGGAUUUUAAUCUAUACUUUUUUCCUUGCGAAGGCCCUUGGAUCAAAGGAAUGAGUCCAUCGAGGAUCUUUUGGUUACAUUUUUCUUUUUGACAUAAGUCCUCGAGGAAAAAUGAUGUCGUCUUUCUCCUGCACCCGCAUGUGACGUGACGUGAGCGAAACUCGAUGGUGCUUUGGAUCUGCAAACCACGUCGAAGCUUAGAAACAGUUGUAGACAUAGCAGUUGAAAACUUGCCUGUCGGAGCUAAGAAACACCAGCGAUAGCUAUUUGGAACCAUACCCCAUUCCUAGAGAACAAGGGAUAAUCAUUCCAAAUCUAGCUAAAUGGAUCCUAAGAGAUCUAACCUUACUAGCUCCGCGACGAAGCCAUACCUGGCUGAACCUUGCUGAUUGGAAAAGAACACGAAGACAAAACAAAUCCAACUCCAAAACUGCAGCGAUGAGACGAUCCUCCACCCUACUCUAUGUUGCAAACGAGGUGGAGCUUGAACCUUAGUUAUACCGCACGGUCUAACUAUAUCCACCAUAGUGUUGUUCCUGAAAAAACAAAACCUAACUAUAUAAAAACUAAUUACCGCGUGGUGGAGGAGGAAAAGGUCCUUGGCAACGUCGACAUAGAUCCGAGAGAUUUUCGGAAGUGAGACGUCUCUUUGGUCACAUUUCUAUGCCUAAAGAGGAUAGAUCACAUGAAAUUUUUUUUCUUCAUGCCCUACAUGCGUAAUGCGUUGUUUCUGUCCAUUCUUCUAAAAACGCACUGACAAUCGUUGACCAAAAUCGUUGAAAUUUUCAUCCGAGGAUCGUGGCAGGUGACCGGUGUCCAAUUGGGACGAGACAAGAUCCGGUCCCUUCGUCGCCACCUCAGAUUGAAUCACAGUUUGGCAGCGCAGUGCUCCGCAGGUGCGCAACCUGUCGGUCAACUCGCUCGCUGCUCUCGCUGUCGUGCUCAUGGUCUCUCCAUUUCCUCCCUUCCCGCGUCGUCUCCGCUCGUCAAACCUCUGCCGCUUUGCCUCCCUCGCUCGCCAUUCCAUCCCUCCCAUCCCGCCUCCAGAUCUCGAUGCGGCCUUCUUCCUGACACUUGCUUUUCUGUAAGAGCCUUCCUGACGCCUGACGCCACCAUGUCCGCCUGCGACGACGACCACGCCUCGCUCCUCAGAUCCGCCGCCGGAGCGGGCGCGUCGUCGUCGUCGUUGUCGUGCCCCUCGCCGCGCUCUGCGGCCGGCCACCGACACGCCGACGUCGAGGCGGCGGACGACGCCGCGGUCGCCGCGUCCCCGAGGCGCAUCGGGGGCGUGCGCGGCCUCCUGCGGCACCUCGACCGCCGCAUCUCCUCCCGCGGACCUGCGCGCCGCCACCAGCAGCAGCCUGAUCGCUCCGCGGCGCUCCCCGAGCAGCAGAGGCAGCGGGCGGGGGAGGAGCUUGGGGACGGGGCGCCGCCCGAGUGGGCGCUGCUGCUCAUUGGCUGCCUCCUCGGGCUCGCCACCGGCAUCUGCGUCGCCGCGUUCAACCGCGGGGUGAGUGGUUCUGGUUGGAAAAUUUCUAUGUGCGUGUAAUUAGUUAAGCGGCUUUGCUUGCUGCAUUGCGUUUUAUCUGGAUCGCAUUGAUGUUAACACGUGGUAAGCCUUCUAUAGGAUGUACGUAGUACUCAUUAACGCAUAGUAUUCUGGACUGUGUAACUGCUCUCUGGGAAAUAUAAAUCCAAAGCCAUACAUAAUUGCUACUGUAUUGGAGAAACAAAAUCAGUGGAUGAAAUUCAUGCCAUGCUGCAAGUUUGGUUCCAUUGCUUCUCCAUGAUAACAUUACCUUAAAGACAUCGUGGCCACAUUGGUUUACAGUUUACUUGUUUUUGCAUACCCAGGAACUGUUAAUUAUCUAUUCCCUAGAUUGCCUUAGACUUUUCUAUAUACAUAUAAAUAGUGCACUUUUUUUUGGGUUCAAUUUUAGGCUUAAUACUGUGCAAUUUGAGGUAAGAUUUUUGAAAUUUCAGGCAACUGAGAAUUAGCGAAACCCUAAAUCUAAGUGCCUAUAUUAUCUGAGAUUGAAGUGCCCCGCAUAAAAAAUAAAGUGAGAUUGAGGUGGUGGAUGCCAAAACACAACAAAUUUCAUUAGAACCACAUUUUGCUAAUAUAGUUUCUUGAUGGGCCUAAUGUGGAAUUUCUGCUGGUGCACUAUUAUCUGUAACCGAAACACUCAAAUUGAAAUAGGCUGACAUUCUUUUUUUUUUGAGAAAUAAGCUGACAUUCUGUGCUUGCAUCCUGCAUGACUGAUUCUAUAUACAGCUCUUGUUUUGGAUUUGUUAGGUCCAUGUCAUCCAUGAAUGGGCAUGGGCAGGUACCCCCAAUGAAGGUGCAGCUUGGCUCCGCUUGCAGAGGAUAUCUGAUACUUGGCACAGGAUACUGCUGAUCCCCGUGACAGGAGGUGUAGUUGUAGGGAUGAUGCAUGGGUUACUCGAGAUAUUUGAACAGCUCAAACUUGCGAGACCACAGCAGAACCAAGGAAUCAACUUACUUGCAGCCAUCUUUCCGACUGUAAAGGCUGUCCAGGCUGCUGUUACUCUGGGGACCGGUUGUUCACUGGGGCCUGAAGGUCCUAGUGUGGAUAUUGGUAAAUCAUGUGCACACGGGUGCUCAGAAAUGAUGGAGAACAAUCGGGAAAGGCGGAUUGCUCUUGUAGCUGCUGGGGCUGCUGCUGGAAUUGCUUCAGGUAUGAUAUCAGUUAUUAGAUACAGUCCUGUUUAUUUAUCACUGAGUAGAUCUUUUCAGUAACAAACGCAAUGAUAAUGCCAUGAUAGUUUGAUAUGGGAAUAGGAGUCAGAUGUUAUUGACAUGUCUACAUCACAACUUUCUAUCAUUAGAUAUAGUAUUUAGUAUUUCAAGAAUUAAUCUGCAUAUAUUUCUAAAAUGCUCUGAAAUGUCAUAAUUAAUUACUACCGUGAUGCUGCCGUUAUGACCCUAAGUUUAACUUCUAGGCUGUGUUGUUUGACAUUCCGUUUGCUAAUAAUGCUUUUUUGAGUGUGCAUUUUCAGGCUUUAAUGCAGCAGUUGCUGGGUGUUUCUUUGCCAUCGAGACGGUAUUGAGACCCCUUAAAGCAGAAAAUGCACCUCCUUUUACGACUGCUAUGAUAAUAUUGGCAUCUGUUAUAUCAUCUACUGUAUCAAAUGUUUUGCUUGGAGAAAGACCAGCUUUUAUAGUGCCAGCAUACGAGCUUAAAUCUGCUGCCGGUAUAUGCUCUGAUUCUUUUUAUCUUUAACUGUAAGAAUGGAGAUUCAUCUAUGAAUUGCAGUUAGUAUAUAUUACAAAAACCAUGACACCUUUUGCAUAAUUGAAUCUGCCAUUUAUGGAAUUCAUCAAAACCCAAACAUACUUAGCCUAUUCUAUAUAGACUUCGAGUUACUCCCAGAAGCCUCAGUUUUCCAAUAUUUGACAUGGGUUCUUCACUCAGUAAUAAUUUUUUCUCCUUUCCUAUUGCAUAUCUGAACAGUGGUGGUUCUGAAAGUUAUCAUUGCGUCUCAUUUUUGUUUUGCAGAGCUGCCUCUGUACCUCAUUUUAGGAAUGCUUUGUGGAGCUGUCAGCGUGGUAUUUGGACGGUUGGUAGUAUGGUUUUCAAGAUUUUUUGCUUACAUAAAAGAAAAGUUUGAUUUUCCUAUUGUAGUGUACCCUGCUUUGGGUGGGCUUGGAGCUGGCCUCAUAGCCCUGAAAUAUCCAGGCAUUUUAUACUGGGGUUUCACAAAUGUUGAAGAAAUAUUGCAUACUGGGAAAAGUGCUUCUGCUCCUGGUAUCUGGUUGUUAACUCAACUUGCAGCUGCGAAGGUAGUUGCGACUGCCCUUUGCAAGGGCUCUGGUCUUGUGGGUGGGCUAUACGCUCCAAGCCUGAUGAUCGGGGCUGCUGUUGGAGCUGUUUUUGGGGGUUCAGCUGCAUACUUAAUAAAUGCAGCUAUACCUGGUAGUGCUGCUGUUGCACAGCCACAAGCUUAUGCUCUAGUAAGUUGAUCUGCAAUGCAUGUUCCUUACUGAAGCAAUAGUGUCCUAGAAAACUAAUUGUCUAGACUGCAGGUUGGAAUGGCUGCUACACUGGCUUCAGUCUGUUCAGUCCCAUUGACUUCGGUGUUGCUUCUCUUUGAGCUGACAAAGGAUUAUAGAAUUUUGCUACCUCUCAUGGUAUGUUGGGAUGAAUUUUGCUGGCGUUCAUGUUGUGUUUCCUGUUUUGCCACUGCAUUUUCAAACCUAAUGCAAAUUGUGUUUGGUUCUCUCUGACAGGGAGCAGUUGGGUUGGCAAUAUGGGUUCCUUCUGUGGUAAACCAACCAAAUAAUGGUGAACCUUUCGGGUUUAGAGCACCCAUGCGUGGUUAUUCUUCAAUUUCACCGCAAGAUAAAAGUAGUAGUAUCUUGAGGAGAAGUGACGUUUUAGAUGAUCUCGAGCUCACUAACUUACAAACUGAUCUUGGUAACAAUGGUACCUGCAAAGAUGAAAUGCUUCUAGAUGAUUUGAAGGUUAGCUGACCUCGUCAAUUCUAGUUAGCGUAUAUAAUAGCAUGUUAAGUUGUCUUGGUUCCAGAAAACCUCGCAUUGUAAUUGUGUUGUUGUUGCUUGUUAUCUUCAUUUGCCAUUUGAACUUUUUUACUAGGUCUCGCAAGCCAUGUCAAAGAUCUAUGUUAAAGUUUCACCAUCUGCCACAGUGGGGGAAGCUCUCAAGCUAUUGAAUGAUAAGCAACAAAUAUGUGCCCUUGUUGUGGAUGAUGAAGAUUUUCUUGAGGGACUUGUUACAUUAGGGGAUAUUCGGCGUAUGGGAUUUGAGUUACACGGGGAAAGUUUCAUAAGUGGAGACCAGCUCAAUUCUGAUGUAUGUGUAUAUGGUGAAGAAGCUAUUUUUCCAAUAACAACCAUAUAUGUUAACAAGUAAAUAGUCUAUGCCAUUUUGGUAUGGAAUAGGUUGGACAUGAUUUUCAAAUCACCACUCUCUAAGGCAUGCCUUAAAAGGAUCUCUAAAUUUACAUUUAAAACAACAAUUUUAAUGUGCUUGCAAUUGAAUUUUGAAAGGUCGAGAUAGAGAAAGAAUUUUCGGUCUGGUGGGAAACAUGUGCUAAUUCAGAGGAGAUUUGCAGGAAGCCUGUUCAACCAUUUCAUCAUGUCUCACUCGAGGAUUCCAGUACAAGGGGAGUGAACGUGGAUUGCUAACAUGCUUUACGGAUACUGAUUUGACGACUGCAAAAAACCUUAUGGAGGCCAGAGGAAUAAAACAGCUGCCCGUUGUUAAACGUGGCAUUGGGCAUAGAACUGAAGGAAAGCGCAAGCUUAUCGCCCUUCUCCGUUACGAUUCUAUUGGUCACUGCUUACGGUGAGUCAUAAUUAUGUUUUCCCGUUUUCUCGCAAAAAAGAAGCUUAUAUAUUUUUGUUUCAACACUUGUAUUUUUCUUUGUUAUUUAAUUUAUCUAAGGUAUGUUCGAGAAUUUUUUUAUCUAAGGUAAUUGAAUUGGUGUUCUUGGUUUAUUGAAUCGGAUUGAAAUAUGCUAACAUGCGGGUUCAUUUGCCUGUUUAGGGAGGAGAUUGAGAACUGGAAGACGAUAUAUCAGAGAAAAGAAGAUUUCCAUAUUUUAGCAAAUGGUCACACAUUACAGUGACCUAUGAUAUACCACAACAUUGAGUGUCUAUGUAAACCUGUAUAGCUUGGAGGGCUAUCCUCCAUCAGUUAAGCCUGAGGUGAUUUAGGCAGGCAAAACCUGACCAAUUUUGCAAUGGCACUUUCUCACCAAUUCAGCAAACGUGCAUUCCCUGGAAUCCUGGAUGUCUUCUUCGAACCUGCUGCUGUUAGGCAAACCUGUUAAUUCACACGGACACAGGAGACCGGGUGGAGUAUGCUGUAUGCAUGUAGAGUACGAAGAUAAGGCUGUGUUGUACAUUUGUGAUUUGUGCACUUUGCUCGCCUUAGUCUGUAGUUCUGUACUGUCUGUCUGUCUGUCAUAGACUUCUGGAAGGUGUGGUCACACGAGGAAUUCUUGUAAAAUGUGCAGUAGAAAAUUUUGGGAGGCGGAUGUUGUAAUCUGGACUUGAGGAUGUGAUCACACAGUUUACAUUGCUUGAACGGCAUGCUUGUUGAUUUUAUCGGACGUCCAAAUCUGGAUUUGAGGAUGUCGCAUCCCACAGUUUACUGCUUUACAUACAUCGGCAUCGCUGCGUAAUUGCAUUUGCCCUGUGGUGUGUGCUAAGGUACUGAAAAUAAAAAUGCUAGAUUUGGUCGGGUAGGCAAAAGUCAUUUAGGGCACCUGAAAAUAGUGCCUUAGAAGAUACAUAUUCUAGGGCAUUUUAAGAUGAUCGGCCGGUGGCUCAGUUUCUCGGAGGUACUCAAAGAGGUAGAGUGUGCGUGUGUGCGUUCAUAGAGGUGAGUGUACAUGCGUGUGUGUGUGUGUGUGUGAGUGCUUAUGUGUGUACUGUGUUUCCUAAAAAAUUUGGCUCUAUUUAAAAGGUGUUGUGAAAGGUCAAGUUGAGGAUAUUUUUCUUUUUUUUUGAGAAUUACCCGUAACUUUAUUUAAAAUCGAAAACCAUUAUAGGUACAGUGUUUCGAAUCAUAGACACAAGAAAUUACAAAGUAACUCAUAUUACUAAGAAUUACAGUGAAAUAUCUCGAAAACAUAUUCUUCAUGGUAUAAAUCUUUGCAACACGAAAUACUGUCUAGGUUUCAGCAAAAAAAAUGCAACUAGACUGGAGCGGCAAUAUCGUCACUCGUAAGCCUGCACGAAGUUGAUUACCUUCAAAGGUUUCAAAAAACCCCUUGAGUCGCCCAUCUAAAAAGAUGGGAAGCCAUGAGCGUGGAACUAUACCUGGGCAAACCCCGGGCCGGGCCGCGCUUCAUAAAAGCCCGACGGUCAAACCUGAAGCCCGAGCCCGACCUGAAACCCCGAAAACAAGCCAUUUAAGUAUUAAAAUAAUUAUUUUGGAAUAAAUAAAUGAUUUUUAUACCUAUUUUUCCUAUAAAAAAAUACCCGGUUUUAGUCAUUUCGGGCUUUCAGGUCGGGCUUGGGACGGGAAAGUGAGGCCCGAGCCUCGCCCGGGACGUCAGGCUUCGGGUUGGGCCGGGCCACUCAGCCCAGGUAUACGUUCAACCUACUUGGGCCGGGGAUGUUCCCUUAUAAGUGCAAGCUGUCGAAUCACAUGAUAUUCACCAAAACGCCAAAGAAGGACUUCAUAGCCACAAAAAAUCAGACCAACAAUAGCACCAUGACACACUAAUAAAAACUUGUCAGAUCCAUGUGAAUAGGUCUGCGAGUACACAUACUGAAAAUUCGCAAGAUCGGACACAUCGAAUCUGCGGUGAGUUCUACUCUCCCGUGGCACUGCCCAAUAAGACACCACCGCAACAGAGGAAGAACCAACAUACCUUUAUUCUUGACGACAUCGCAUCCUCCACCAUAGCGUUGCCGAUGAGAAUCACAAGACUCAUAAUACUAAAACUGAAAACGUCUAGGAGUUUUUUAUAACUGCGUAUUUUCUUUUGUGCCUUCAUUUACAAAUUUCGACAUGUCCAGGCCCAAUUAGAAUCCCUCUUUUUCUCCUGUGAUGGGCCCAAUCGGCCCAGUCCUUUUCGAUGGGCCCAGAUACAUGAUAAAUAGGGCAUGUAGGGUUUUUGAGGUGGACCUAACCCACUACGAGAGGGGCUAUUCACAUAUACCAACUAGUAGUGGGUGUAGUUGGUUAAUUCCUUUUUAUUUCUACUUACUUAGUUCAACCUUUCGGGCGGCAAAGCCACUCAAGUUAAAGAAGUCUUGAAUCCGGGCGGCAAUGCCACUCACGUUGAAACAAGACAGUUGUGAUUCCGGACGAAUCCGCUAAAGUUAAAUCACAACUUAAACGCACUAAGUACUUAAAAAUAAGCCAUUGGAUCUUUGACAUGCGUCAGGUUCAUAGCCAUUGAUGCAAGUAUCUAAAACCUUUCACACACUUCUACCUAAAUAUCUAACUACUAGAAGGUUCCCUAUAUUUAUUUAUUUGAUCAAUAUUUUAUAUGCCGUGGUAAUUUAGGUGGGCUCGAAACCCAAGCGAGUCACGUGCGAGAAACCAAACACCCGCUGGGCUUCCUUGGUUUUAUGAUUGGGUCAUCCGGACGCAUAGUUAAUCCGGUAAGUAGACAAAGUUAAUCUUGUAAGUAGGAAUAAUUAACCUAAUAAGUAGCCAUAUUUAACCUGAUAAAUAGACAAAAUGGUAAAUACGCAUAAAUAAUCUGAUACGUAGACGUAUAUAAUCUGGUAGCCUGGUAAGCAGUCGUAGUUACAUGGGCAAUGUGGGUUAAUAACCUAUUUCAUGUGCAUGAAUAAACUGACGGCUGCACAAACAAAGUGUUAGAGAUAUAAUAUGGUUGGGAUUAGAGGCAGUGGUGGAAUAAGGAAUUUCGCAAGCCUUGGGCUAACUAAGGUAGAGCUGAACUAAACCUAGACACAUGGGGCUAUGUCUUGAUGGGCUACAAAAAUUAUCAAAUUAGUUAUAUGAAUUAUAGCUAUUAAUUCGACUACACCUGGGUCUAUAGCCUCUCCGCCCCUAUUAGAGAGAUUAGAUAAAAACCAGUUUAAACAAAUUAUGUCUUAUACUCUAAAUCUAUUUUCCCACUUUGUACUCUAUAUACCCGAUAAGGGUCAGGUCAAUACAAUAACAGAGAUUAGGGUUCCAAUCUCAUCUUUCUUCAUAAACUGGUAACGGUUUGUUAAUAACCUGAUAAGUGUGUACGGAUAGAUUGGUGAGCGGAUGUUAAUAAUUGAUGCGUGAGAAACUAGUUAUGUGCGCUCCUGCGAAAAUACAUAAGGUUAGAAAAUGUGGAUUUUUGUUUGUUUGUAUAAUAAUUUACCUACAAAAAUAAUGAAGUUUACCUGGACUUUGGAGGUAGGCCGAAGGCCGAGCCACCUGGCUAGGUUGGGCUGAUUCGCUGGAGAGGGCUGCUGUUGGAGCUGUGGGCUCUGAGGACGGGCGUCGCUGUCUUGCUGGGCCAACAGACGCGGACGGGUGUUGCUGGGCCAACGGACGCUUAUUGGCCGCUCAAGCUACUGCGCACGCAGAGAAACAAGCAAGCGAUAGAGCAGGCGGGAGGAUCGGGGCGCAUCACGCGGGUAUCUAGGAGCUCCCAGAAAAAUCUCUUCGUAAUACCAAUACCCCGUACUUAUCAAUUCGGGGAUCGCCUGCCUAUAAAUAGAAGAACGCAUGCACUGCGGUAUGCCACACGCCUAUCUACCGGCAUACGGAAAGGAAGCCAAGAUGAAGCUCCCGGCGACCUCCCUUCUCCUCCUCGCUGUGCUCCUUCUGAUACAUGGUACAUCGACGUAACUUUUUUCUCGCGCUGUAAUUGGAGUUUGAUAAUAAAUCUUGUUUAAUUGUAUCUCUUGUUUGUGUUGAAAAUAGGCGUGCAAUCUGUCAGGCAAUCCGUCAAGGCUCCGGCUCCUGUGCCGUCUGGCAAGGUUCCCGGGACAAAACCACCUGUCGGACGGAAGAGCGGGCACUCGCAUCUGUACAAGAUGUUUGUGUUCGGCGACUCCUUCGCCGACAAUGGCAACCUCCCGAGGUGGUGCUCGAGCCCGAUAACGCGGCAGUGGCACUACCCCUACGGUGCCUCCUCCCUGGCCGCCAGCAGCCUUCGCCCCACGGGCCGCUUCUCCGACCACCUGGUUCAGCCCGACAUCCUUGCCACGAUGCUCAACAUGGGCAGACUUGAGGGCCCGCCGGCGCGCAAGCUGACCAUUAAGAACUACUGUGACGCGUUCGGGAUGAACUUCGCUGUCGGCGGCUCGGGCGUCUUUGAGCCGUUCCUCCCGCCACUGCCGCACAAGCUCAAGUUGCCGACGCUCGCCACCCAGAUCGACCAGUUCGAGAAGCUCAUCCACGACCGCGUCGUUUCGAGCUGGCUCCUCGAUGACUCCAUCGCCCUCGUCGCCAUAUCUGGCAAUGACUACACCCGCGUCGCCAACAGCAACAGAGCCGACGUACGUAUAAUCGUUGCGUCAUCCCAAUCGAUGCUGAGGUUGAGUGUAACAAAGCUUCCAUUUACUAUCUUUUGUUUUAAAAAAUUACGAUCUCUUUGCAUAUGCAGAUGGUUGCGUUUGUCGGUAACGUGACGACGGAGCUCGCGGUGAACGUGAAGAGGCUGCAGGACAUCGGCAUCAAGAAAAUCCUCGUAAACAACCUUCACCCUCUCGGUUGCACGCCAUGGCAGGCGAGGCCGAGCAACUACGCCAAUUGCACCGACUUCCCCAACAUGGGCGCCAUGAUACAUAACAACCAGCUGCUCAAGAAGGUCGGCGGAAUGGACAACGUCAAGAUCCUCGACCUCAACACCGCCUUCUACAACAUCAUCGGCCCGCACAGCCCUGGUACACACAACAUAAUUACAAAUUUGUUCAUAUAUAUUCUUCUGAUUAAUUUGUUAUUCGUUUGUUUGUUCGACAAUCCAAUUAAUUGAUGGAUUAAUUAAUCUGGGUCAUGUUGGUUUAGGGUCAGGGUCGGAGCUGUCGAAGCGGUUCAAGUACUUGAUCAGGCCGUGCUGUGAGAGCUCGGAUCCUGAUGGGUUUUGCGGGGAGUGGGGCGAGGACGAGCAUGAUCGGCUAUACACGUUGUGCAAGGACCCAAGCAAGCAUUUCUACUGGGACGACGUACACCCCACGCAGGCUGGUUGGCAGGCCGUCAUGGACCAGCUCAAAGUUGAUAUCCAGGAGUUCCUCGACGUGUUCCAGCUUAGCUAAGAUUAUUUUGUUGGUGUCUUCUGUUAGUUAUGGUUUGGUAUUUUUCGGAUCAGUAGUUCGAAGUGGUUAUUUAGGUUUGGUUCUUUUUGGGUGGCACUAACUCGAUGCCAUAUAUCUAUCGAUUUUUAGGAGUCAGUUCCACGUGAGUGAAUCUCUGUUCCGCAGACAAUGUUUGCAUCUCUUGUGGUUUGUUGGUCAAUAUGCAUGUGGGGAUUGAAUGCUUCACUCCUCCGGAAACUAACAUCAGCAGUACCAGAUGCUUUUUAUUUAUUUUUCAAAGGCCCACGUUUCGCUGUUUUCUCUCCUCGAAAUAGUUUGUUCAGAGCACAUUCUCCUCGCCAUUUGUUUUUUUUUUUUCUUUCGAGAACAUUCUCCUCGCCAAAUGAUCCAGUAUUAAGGUCAGAAUAUAACUGCUUGGUUCUGCGAGGGGCUUUUGACCUUAAUUUGUUUGGACCUGCAACCUCUCCGGCCCAAUAAACUCACACAGCCGUUAUUAUACUCUUCCCGGUAGAAGAACAUUACCUGCCAGCAGUAGCAGCAGAACCGCGACCGGCCCAAUCCCCUCCGAAUAAAAAACCCCCGCCGCCUCCUCCUCUCCUCGUCGCCGCCGGCGCCGGCGCCGGUGUGGCCUGGGUUUACGUCUCACCUUCUCCCGCGAUCAUGCGGAGGCAUUGCAAGCACAGCUUUCUGUGGGUAGUGAGUCCGCGGAGUCCUCCUGCGCCCAAAGCCGAGGCGAGCGAGCGCCGAGAAGGUGCUCGACGAAAUGCCGCAUCGAGGGUGUUGGCGUUUCUUCGCAGGAAGGUGGAGUGAGCGUUGCACGUCACGCAUCAGGUACGACGAGGUUUUCGGAAUGCCGCUGCAAACAGAAGGGAGAGCGUGCUAGUUUGAUUGCCUGGGAACGAUAGUUGCUUGUCUUGUGUAGACGGCUCAAUGGUAUUCCUCUGUUUUCUGUUCCAAAAAAUUGUGGUCAUAUUUCCCUGAGGUAACUCUAGGGGCGCGACUGGCCAUAUAUUUUUCUGGGCUUCUCAUACUCUAACCUCGAGGAUGAAAUUACAGAUGCGUGGACCCUGCAUAAUGUAGAGUGUCCUCAAAAUUUAGAACAAGAUACCCACACGGUUCCUGGUUUAUCUCUGUUGCGUUAGACUAAACUUAAGUGUCACUAGCUGAAAUACUGCAUUACAUGGAAAACGGUCAGGUUUAGUUAGUUUAUUACUUCAGAGUCCAAGUGACAAUUAAUUAAGUUCAAUUCAUGUACGUGCACUGGUAGGACGGUGUAAACGGGCCCAUGUUCAAGUGUGUGACUCGGCAGCUAGCGUGCAUUGUAUUAUUAUUGAUGCAUCGCAUUCACGUAUUCAAACCACACACACCCUCGCUCAAAACAAUUAAACAUCAGGUGGCGUGCUGACAGCUAAAAUAAUUAAGAAUCCAAAGAACAGAAGUAGCUCAAAGCUAACUGUGUUAGUUUCUGUGUAUAAAAUAGCAGCUAUUAGCUCCUGCGAACUGCAAACACACACAAGACCCAGCAGAGGGAAAGUGAAAUAGAUCAAGAUCGAGGUCGGAGGAGAAAUAAUUAAGGAUGGAGGGCGUGGUGAGGCACCAUACCAUGGAGGCAAAUGGUAUAUCGAUGCACGUGGCGGAGACCGGCCCUGAGGUGGACGCCAAGGGGACGGUGCUGUUCGUGCACGGCUUCCCGGAGCUGUGGUACUCGUGGCGCCACCAGAUGGAGCACCUGGCGGUGCGCGGCUACCGCUGCGUCGCCCCUGACCUCCGCGGCUAUGGUGGCACUUCGGCGCCGCCCGACGUCGCCUCCUACACCGCCUUCCACAUCGUCGGUGACCUCGUCGCGCUCCUUGACGCCCUCAGCCUUGCAAAGGUACCUACGUACUAUAUAUGCCGUCGGAGCCCUCUUUAAUUGGUUGAAGCUAGCUAGCAGCUAUAAGAAGGAAGAGCAUGUUUAAUUGUUGGUCAUACAUAUAACCUUAAUUUGUGAUGUUAUACUUUUUCCAUCAAAUUUAUAUACGAUGAGUAAGUUGCACAACAAAGCGUGGUGAAAAAAAUUGACCGCCUAUGCUUCUACGAUUCUUUUCUUCUCAAAUAAUUAAUUACUGCCUGUAAACUAUGUUAGCACUUCUUUUUGCAAACAAUGGCAGGUUACACCAAGCAUGGUGGAGAGAUUAAUCAUUGACCGGUAUGCUGCCAUAGCUUUGUAAAAUUUGGGAAGAGCAUGAGAGUGUAUGAUAAAGAGUGGACUAGCUAAUUAAUUGAGAGUGGCACACUAGUAGCAGUAAACAAAAUAACCACAGCUUGACAAAAGUACUGUACAUAUGAUCAACCAAACAUCCUAAAUAUAUUUUCUUGACAAGCAUGGUCAACAUUUGUUCAAUGAAAUAGGAGACAUAAUUUGGUAAUUAAGAGAAUAUUAAUUGCCAUUUUUAAUCAAAGAUGUUGCUUGGAUCAAACUGAUGGAAAUUUGUCAAUAAACUUGUCUAAUUAAGUUGCAACACCAUAAAUCUUUGCAAAUUUAGGGCAUGCAAGAACCUACGAAUGGUAGAGUCAGUCGUUGUGAACAUUAAAUUUAGCUCAGUACCUCACCUUUUGCAGACGGUGAAAUAACUCAUACACGAAAUUGUUUACAUUAAAUUUGAUGAUGUAUAUAAACAAUGAAGCCAACUCUAAGCGACCCGGAUUCUUUGUGAAUGUUUUAUUCUCUCUCAUUCAUCUCAACAGUUACUCGAAUAUGAGUCAGUUGAUUAAUACCUUUGUAGAUGCGCUUAUAGCUAGUCUCAUAUUUUCCCUUCUGUUUGAACGAAACUAUAAUUACCCUUCUGUCCAAGAAAUAUAAUUCUGCUGGCUGAGAAUAUGUAAAUACUCAUCCAAGUCCUCAAUUUAUAUGAUUAUCAAACAGCUGUAUGUAAUUUUUUAAAAACUCUGUUUUUUGGUACAAUCAAAUAAUUUCUGUCACAUAUUUCUGCAUUUUCAGUUCGAGGAAGAUAAGUUCUUCUUUCCCGGAGCACUUAAGAUUAGUUCAGCAUGACAUCACAUUUAAAUUUUAUGGUUGCGAUUUAAGAAUGAUGUAUGCCAAUCAAAGAGCCGUUUACUCCCUCCUUCCAACAAAGGAUGUCUCAACUUUGACUAAAUUUGAAUGCGUCUAUAUACUAAGUCAUGUCUAGAUACAUUCAAAUUUUGACAAACUUGAGACAUCUUUUGUUGGAUGGAGGGAGUAUUUUAUUCUCUUGUUGGGGAAUAAAAAGAUGCUCUGCUCUCUGGAAUUCUAUAAUCACACGCCAUAAGAGAUAUUUAAUUGUUUGAUAGUAUACUAUUAAAUCAAGCAAUUAUUGGUGUGAAGAAAUAAUCAAAAGAUGCCUUUUUCUGUAGUACUACGUACAGCAGAGUCACGGCACAUAUGCAUGUGAAAGGCCGGUGAUAUACAUAUUCUCUGUUUAUACAAAGUAUAGCAAGAUAUUAAGUACUAUAGACAGCAUGUUCCAUUAACUAAUAUGCAUCUUAUUUAUUGUACUUCAUUUUUUGCGUGUGUACCCACAUGAAGUUCAUAAUUCAGCUACUGGCUGGCGGCCUGUAUGCAGUUCUACCUGUUUAUUAAUUGAUUAUGCAGCAGAUUCAGGGCGCAGACAACGGGGUGAGCAGGAUCACACCCCCUAACCAUUUUAUUUCAAGCUAGAUAAAAUUAGUACUACUUAUCUAAGAAGAAGAAAAAUGCUCAUAAGCUCAUGUCUCUUUGUCUUUCCUAUAUCUAAAUCCUGGCUCUAUCCCUGACAACAGAAAUGAGAAUUUAUGAUACGUAUAUUUGGUUUUAAAACAUAAAAGAUCAAUGACGGUCAAACACGGAUUAUAUAUUGGCAGGUGUUCGUAGUGGGGCAUGACUGGGGUGCGCUGAUCGCAUGGUACCUGUGUGUGUUCCGUCCGGAGCGUGUGACGGCACUUGUCAAUACCAGCGUCACCUUCAUGCGCAGCAUCAUGAUCCGCAUGGGCCCUGGCUUCGUGAAGCCCACCGACUACUUCAACAGCACCUAUGGGCCCAAGUUCUACAUGUGCCGAUUUCAGGCAAGUUAAAUUGUAUACUCCCCUUGAAGGAUCUUAAUAAUGCAAGUCCGAGACACACCCUUCACGGCUGCGUCUGUGUGCAUACAGGUACCUGGGGUGGCCGAGCAACAGUUCAUGGCAGCCAAUGCCAAGCACCUCCUGAAGCAGGUCCUUUGCCCGUGUUUCAGCCACGGGGUGGCCUGCGAGGAGAACAUGGACGAUGACCCGUCUUCCAUGACGCUCCCGUCCUGGCUCACCGAGGCCGAUGUGGACUACUUCGGUGCCUCCUUCGAGAAGACCGGCUUCACCGGCGCCAUCAACUACUACCGCAACCUGGACAGAAACUGCGAGCUGGCGGCCCCUGGUCGGACGCCAAGGUGGAGGUGCCAACCAAGUUCAUUGCGGGGACCGGGGACAUUGCCUACAACUUCCCAGGGAUCCAGGACUACUUGCACCAUGGGGGGUUCAAGGAGGAUGUGCCGCUGCUGGAGGAGCUGGUGGUCAUCCCUGGCGCCGGCCACUUUGUGCAGCAGGAGAAGGCGCAGGAGGUAGCGAUCACAUUUACGACUUCAUCACCAAGUUCUGGUCUAUCGAUCGCCAACUCGAUAAUCCUUCGAUCGUAUUUGCAUUGCGUGUAUGUGUGUGGGUAUAUCGAUCUAUCGAUGUAUUGUAUUGUUUUCAUCACACUCUUAAUCACUUCACUUUACGUAUAAACAACCUGUUCAAGGGCGAGUGUAUGUUAAAGGUGUGUUCGUGCCCAUUGACGCGCCUUAGGUGCGUCACAUUUUAUUUCAACCUGGAAAAACAACAAUUAAUUACUGAUAUUGUGCUUGAUUGAUUCCUGCCUUUCUGGGCUCAUGCCUGACAUGAAGUUGUAUAAAAAUUUACAUCCUGAGUGCUACUUUACGGUCAGCUGCGGACAAGUUCCCCUGCAGUUGAUUACCACAGCGGCUGGGAAUGAAUAGGGAGCUUCGAACUAUUAAUUUCAAGUGUUUUCAACAAAAACUGUCGGAGCUCUCAACUAAUUCGGUAGAGCUUAAAAUCAAAUUAUGAGAGUUGACCCAACCUGUUUGUUCUUUCUUUCCGUUUUCCAUUUUCCUAAAAAGACUUGACCGCAGUCUUGUUUUGUAAUUCAAAUGUCAGUCAUUUCUUUAAAUGUGAGGUGUUGUUUUCAGUGGUUUGCUCGCGUUCGAUGAGUACUUGUUUUCAGAACAAAGUGCAUUGUAGGUCAUCGAUCGAACUAUUUCUGAGAACUCACUGUGUAUUUAAACUUUCUGGAACCAUCAUGUCACCAUUUAUCUCCUCAGCCACAUUUUUUUUAGGCAAUAAGGGCAAAGAGUUUUACAAGAUAGAGGAGAAAUAGUCACGCCACAAACCGGUGGCUAUCUUCUUAUAGUUGCAUUUCAACCUAUAGGAACAUAGGGUUGCGUCCUGGAGUAGCGACCCAAGGGCUACAUGGAUAGGGGUAUCUUCGUUGGAGAAGACCUUCACAUUUCUGAAUUUCCAGAUACGCCAUGAAACAACCAUGAGUAUGGAAGGCCACACCUGAUUUGAUAAUUGCUGAGGAGGAGGAAGGAACCAAAGUUCUUCAAAUUUUAGACCUGCCGGGUCAAUAUGAAUUGCAUUCCAAAACUGAGGCAAGCAUCGUCUCUCAAGCGACAGCCGCAUAUAUUAAUACAUGCACGGUCAAGCUCACUCUCGUAAUCAGGGCUACUGGAGUACUGGCCAGUGGUACGCAUAGUAGCUACCUGCAGGAGGAAUAUGGGUCAGGACUCAAGCGACACCGGGGGCACGGUGUCGCUCUUGCUGGCGCGCGCAGCUGUACCCUUCAUCUACUCGUUCAAAAUUCGUUUUCUUGUUGCAGGUUCCGUGGAUUAUUUUUUAUGCCUAUAGCUAGCUAUCCAAACGUGGGUCCAGUGACUGGAGCUUUUGACCGGACGUGGGUCCCAGGCUCCUAGGUGAUACGUGAUUGCUGGUUUGGGAAGGCAUUUUGAUUUUUUUACAAAUUAUUUGGUGGUCUAAACGAUUUCAGAAUUUGACGAAAAGUUGAGGAUUUGUUUAAGAUGGUCUUUGCCACCUACAGAAAAAAUAUCAAAAAAUUUCGAGCAAAUUCAAAUCUCGGCCGAUCUCCACCGAAACUAGUAUUGCACUAACACAUUUUGAUAAUUGUACAAAUUAUUUGAUGGUCCAAACGGAUUUAGAAUUUGAUGAUUUUCUUUUGUUUGUUUAAGAUGGUGUUUCACACCUACAGAAAAAAAAAAGAGGAACAACAGAAUUUUCAACCUAAAGAGACUGUCUGCCCAAGGUGUAAUUGCCAUCAUCAAGAAUGAGGCAGCGAUGUGGAGGCUGAUUGAUAGCUCCGGUCUAGGGGGCCUUGUUUAUGGAGCAGAUGACGUUCCGUGAGUCCUUUGCUAGCGUGUUUGUUAGCUUUUAGUGUUCUUUCUUUUUGUCUGUAAAUAUGUGUUUGUACUCCUGGGUUAAGAUUCUCCUUGACCUGUUUUGAUUAAUGAAGGGCCGUUUCGUAAAAAAAAAGAAAAGACAUUUGGUCAUCGUUCCCACCCCUACAAGGCUACAAAGCGUGCAUGCACGGCAGUACACUUGCCAUGUCUACGGAGUCAAUUGCGAGUCUUUCCAAGUUGUGUGGCCGCGUUCCAGGAUUCUUCCCUAUAUAAGCUGGAACCUUGGAUGUUAGUUCUCUCCGAUCUCCAUCGUCUGAGAAGGAACUGCCGGCUAUGGCGUCCGUAGCGCAGCUCCUCCUCCUGCCGUGCAUCAUCAUGAUCACCUACCACGCUCUCGUUGCCCGUGCAGGGGACGAGAAGAGCUACAAGGUUCUCUCGGCCAGCUCGCUGAAGCCUGGAGCCGUUUGCGCCGAGCCCAAAGGUACGCAUGCUACGCAAAGUCGAUUCCAUGCAACCGCGUUUGUAUAUAUUCCGUCCAUUAUAUAAUUAUUGUCUCAAAUUUGUUUAAAAAAGAAUGUUUUAAAACGUCUAGAUACAUAGAUGUAAUAUUUCGACAAGCAAACGGAGAGAGUAGUUAAUUAACCGCGGCGAUUUGACUUGGUUUUGAACUUUUGAUGCCGUGUCAAUUUCGCAGUAAGUCCGCGAUUCGUCGUCCAGCGGGGCCACGGUUCCGUUGAACCACCGUCACGGCCCGUGCUCGCCGGUGCCCUCCGGGAAGAAGAAGCAGCCUACCUUCACGGAACUUCUCCGCCGUGACCAACUCCGAGCUAACUACAUCCAACGGCAGUUCUCCGACGAGCACUACCCGCGCACCGGCGGGCUCCAGCAGUCGGAAGCUACCGUGCCGAUCGCACUGGGUUCUCUGCUGAACACGCUGGAGUACGUGAUCACCGUCAGCAUCGGCUCGCCGGCGGUGGCCCACCAUGUUCAUCGACACCGGCAGCGACGUGUCCUGGUUGCGCUGCAAGUCACGAUUAUACGAUCCCGGCACGUCGAGCACGUACGCCCCCUUCUCCUGCAGCGCCCCGGCGUGCGCGCAGCUGGGCCGGCGAGGCACCGGCUGCUCCUCCGGUUCCACGUGCGUCUACUCUGUCAAGUACGGCGACGGCUCCAACACCACGGGCACGUACGGCUCCGACACGCUAACGCUGGCCGGGACGUCGGAACCGCUGAUCUCAGGGUUCCAGUUCGGCUGCAGCGCCGUCGAGCACGGGUUCGAGGAAGACAACACCGACGGGCUCAUGGGGCUCGGCGGCGACGCCCAGUCGUUCGUGUCGCAGACGGCGGCCACGUAUGGCAGUGCCUUCUCGUACUGCCUCCCGCCGACCUGGAACUCCUCCGGGUUCCUCACGCUGGGUGCCCCGAGCAGCAGCACGUCGGCGGCCUUCUCGACGACGCCGAUGCUCAGAAGCAAACAGGCCGCCACGUUCUACGGCUUGCUCCUCCGGGGGAUCAGCGUGGGCGGGAAGACGCUCGAGAUACCGUCUUCCGUGUUCUCGGCCGGGUCGAUCGUGGACUCCGGCACGGUCAUCACGCGGCUGCCGCCGACGGCGUACGGGGCGCUCUCGGCGGCGUUCAGGGACGGCAUGGCGCGGUACCAGUACCAGCCCGCGGCGCCCCGGGGCUUGCUGGACACGUGCUUCGACUUCACGGGGCAUGGGGAGGGCAACAACUUCACGGUACCGUCCGUCGCGCUCGUGUUGGACGGCGGCGCGGUCGUGGACCUCCACCCGAACGGGAUCGUGCAGGACGGCUGCCUCGCGUUCGCGGCCACCGAUGACGACGGCAGGACCGGCAUCAUCGGAAACGUGCAGCAGCGGACGUUCGAAGUGCUGUACGACGUAGGACAGAGCGUCUUUGGGUUCCGGCCCGGAGCAUGCUGAGAUCAGCGCGCCCCGCAAGCUAGGCUCCGGCGUGGAGGCACGCGAGAAGUAGUCCUGCUUCGUUACAGUUCUUUACCAUUCGUCACAGCCUCACAGGCUCACAGCUCCCGUUGUGUAACAAAAAGAAAACCUGUCAAUCAGUAGCAAUGCUUAUGACACCAAACUAGCAUGAUCAGAUCCGUUUUGAAAUGUAGUUUCAUAAUAUAUCAAUUCGAUAUCAUAUGUGUUGCUACACUUUUUAAAAAAAAUGAUCAAAUCUUGAAAAUUUUGAGUUAUGACAAAACUAGAUGUACAAUUAUUUAUGAACGGAGGGAGUAUGGUCGAGGCUUUCUCCUUUUUUGGAAGGGACUUGGCGUCGUGAUCAAGGCGCGAUAUUUCGCUCGGAAAAGACAGCAAGCCUUCCAUUUGGCCAUGCAACGCGUGCGCGCCAUUGCACUUGACAUGUUCACCGAGUCAACUACGAGUCUUUCCAAGUUGUGUGGCUCCGUUACGAGAUUCUUCCCUAUAUAAGCUGAAAUUUUGGAGGUUAGUUCUCUGCGUCGUCUGAGAAUCAAGCAACUGCCGGGCAUGGCACCCGUUGCGCAGUUAACGCUCCUCCUGCUGCGCAUCAGCUACCACGCUCUCGUUGCCCAUGCAGGGGACGAGCAGAGCUACAAGGUUCUCUCGACCAGCUCGCUGGAUCCUGGAGCCGUCUGCUCCCAGCCCAGAGGUACGCACUCGUCUCCGGCACGAUCGUCACGCGGCUGCCGCCGACGGCGUACGAGGCGCUCUCGUCGGCGUUCAAGGACGGGAUGAAACAGUACCCGCCGGCGGAGCCCCAGAGCAUCCUGAACACGUGCUUCGACUUCACGGGCCAGGAGAACAACGUCACGAUACCGUCCGUCGCGCUGGUGUUGGACGGUGGCGCCGUCGUCGACCUUGACCCGAACGGGAUCAUACUGAGCAGCUGCCUCGCGUUCGCGGCCACCGAUGACGACCGCAGCAGCGGCAUCAUCGGUAACGUGCAGCAGCGGACGUUCGAAGUGCUGUACGACGUAGGCCAGAGCGUCUUUGGGUUCCGGCCGGGAGUAUGUUGAGCGGCGCGGAGGCACGUUCAAGGAUCAUCUUGCCAUGCGCCGCAUUACCAACGACAAUGAUCAACACACUAUGUGCAAAUUAAAAGUAACACAUGUAGAGCAUGAUGUUUAUGGGUCUUGCUCUUCUAUCCAUUGGGUCUGAUUUUCUCAACUGGAGUUCUGUAUAGCGCGCACGUGAUUGGAAAUUUCUCAUGCUAACAUAUAUAUAUCCACUAAGUUUGUUCAUACAGUACAUACCUAAGUUGCUGAGUGUUUGAUACCAUUAUCCACUAAGUUGGUGAUCCUUUGAUAAAAUACCUGAUAAUAGAAGCAGCAUUCAUUGGUAUGUAAAAGACCUGCUUCCUGCAGCGGCGAGGCAUAACAUACAACCAUGAUGUAGUAUUACAUUUGCAAAAAACACCAUCGACAUACUCCUACAUAGCAUGUGUGCAAAAACAACAAAUGGAUUGAAGCCAGAGCAACAACUGCAUUGCUGUUUUGCAAAUCAUUAGCUCGAUGUUUCUGUUCCAUUGCUUUUUUCGCCGCUUCUCUUCCGCUUCCUGACCCUCUUUCUCUUCGCCUCGCCAUCAGCCUGCGAACCCUGCAGGAUAUGAGUUUCUUGUCACUGUUCAUGGCUGUGAGGUAAAUCAUGUGUGUGCUUCUGGUGCACGAUUCAUCCGCUCAACAGAUUACUGUCACAUUAUGUUGUAUCCGUCUUAUUCUGAAGUUCUACACCUCAAGAUAUGUCAGGCAAGCUUGCUUUUACAACAUUGCAACAGAUACAUAUAACGAGUGUUCUGAGUAUUACAUACAGCUUAUAAAUGUAAAGCAAUAACGCUAUCCAGUGAUGAUUACCUGAUUUUGAGCUGCUGAAGGUUGGGCCUUUGGUUUCUUUUUCUUGCAGGAGAGUGGGUUGGGGCCCUGCAAUAGGAUGCAAAUUAACAUUCUAUACAGAAGGCAGAGAUGCAGUUCUGAACUCAAACCACUGAUGAUGCCGAUUAGACAACAAAUAUCAUUUAUCCAUGUGCAUAUGAAAAAUAUACUGAAAAAGUAUAGCUGUCAAUAUAACCUUUGCUCUGUUCCUUUUAAACUUGCUUUUCUCUGCCAUUCCCUGUGUGGUUGCGUCACCAGAUGUCUUCCCUUCUGAUGUGGCCUUCAGUAGCUUCUUAUAUUCUGACUUCUCCAUAUUUAUACGCUUCUCCUCAUCCAACUGAGCAAACUUACGUUGCUGCAUGGAGGGUUGCUCAAUAAACAAGGAGUUCUUCAGACCGUAUAUCACAGGAACACCAGGAACCUACACCCAAGCAAAAAUGCAUGAGCACAUUGCUUCAGAAGAAUUUCUUAAGAUGGCAUAGUACACUCAAUUUUCUUAUUUCUGUUAAUCAUAGUGCUAUGAUCUUUGUUAGCUGUAGAUAUCCAUGUUGAUAUUGUUCCACAAAUGAAAUUCAGGUCACAAAACGUAAAGAAUAUACUAGUGCAAAAGGGUAGAAAACCUACAUACCUCCCGUAAUUUUGCCCGGAGAUCGGAAUCCUGGGUGGCAACAAAGUAGUGUUCUGGAUUCUUAUCGCCUAGCAGUGACAGGAUACAGUCCACUGCACUGACCACUUUGUCAUGCUCACAACUGAGCACACCAACAGAAGUAGUCCAUAGAAAAGACAAUCAGUUCCUCGAGCUCACCAACUCAUAAUACGGUAAAACUAUCCUUAUCGAAUGUAGUAGUAGCACUGCAUACAAUCAAAUUGAUGUAGUAGAGAACUGAUGUCAUCAGAUUCCAGUAUGUGAUUUCAAAGUUAGCGAUGAAGUUUUAUACUUGGGAAAUGGAAUUCGGUACCAAACUAUGUCACAGGAUAAACACAAACAUGGAUGUCUCGACUAGUCCGCGAUCCAAGUUGGACCUAGGUUUCAGAUAGUCCAAUGUGAAAUUGACUAUCAGGUAACAUGGCAAAACAGAUUGAUUCGCACUUGUAAUUGCACCAAUGACGAAUGCACAAAUAGAGUGGGUAAGACUGCAAAGUACUCCAGUAAGCAGGAGAAGAGAAGAGGACCUGGCGGUGGCAAGGAGCUGGGCGGCGUCGAAGGCCUCGGAGUGGGACUUGCCGAGCCGCCUGAGCUCGGCGAGGACGCACUUGGAGGUGAAGAGCGGCGGCGGCCUGGAGGCGGAGAGAAGCUCGCGGAGGGCGUCGUCAGCGGGGAGGAGGCGGUGGAGGAGGAG
rnacentral:lncRNA from 1 species